GACGAACGCUGGCGGCGUGCUUAACACAUGCAAGUCGAACGGAAAGGCCCUGCUUUUGUGGGGUGCUCGAGUGGCGAACGGGUGAGUAACACGUGAGUAACCUGCCCUUGACUUUGGGAUAACUUCAGGAAACUGGGGCUAAUACCGGAUAGGAGCUCCUGCUGCAUGGUGGGGGUUGGAAAGUUUCGGCGGUUGGGGAUGGACUCGCGGCUUAUCAGCUUGUUGGUGGGGUAGUGGCUUACCAAGGCUUUGACGGGUAGCCGGCCUGAGAGGGUGACCGGCCACAUUGGGACUGAGAUACGGCCCAGACUCCUACGGGAGGCAGCAGUGGGGAAUAUUGCACAAUUGGCGGAAGCCUGAUGCAGCAACGCCGCGUGCGGGAUGACGGCCUUCGGGUUGUAAACCGCUUUCGCCUGUGACGAAGCGUGAGUGACGGUAAUGGGUAAAGAAUCACCGGCUAACUACGUG
rnacentral:rRNA from 1 species